UAUAUAAUGCUUCCAUCGCCACCUGCUUCCAAGAGGAGUACGUUCCAGUCUUCUAUCUCGGACAACCGACUCGCUACCACGGCUCCUAUAAUCAAUAAAUUGGCAGAACAUUAUAGAACAUAAGAAAGGUGAAGUUAAAAUUUCCUUGUUAAUAUAUACAACAACGCACAACGGCAUUAAAUGUACUGCACAACAGAUAGAGCGGCUAAAAGAAGGGUGUAAUGGGUAAUCAAGAUGUGUAUAUUGUUAGAUUUGUGUGUUACUUUAUUAUAUGGAUAAUAAAGCGCUCCUGCUCGCGUGAAAACACACAGAUACGCGCUUCUUUCUCAUAUUUUCAUUUCGUUUAUGAUGUAAUUUUCUAUCGACAUCAUGAAAAAACGUACCUGCAGAACCACCGCCUACGAUUAUGAAAUCGUAAGAUGGCAAGAGUGAUUCGGAAGGAAGAUUCUUCGAGGAAUAAU